rnacentral:pre_miRNA from 1 species
CCCUGCAAAUAUAGAAUAUUGAUUUUAUUACUUAUUGUUUUAAUCCUUGUAAAAUCAUUUCAUAUUGAAAUUGGUUACUAUAAAUAUUCAUUUUAGUCCUCAUUUUGAAGGACUAAAAUUAAAUAUUCUACGUAUUACAAGGACAAAAUCCUAUAUGAAUUAAUUUUAGAAGGACUAAAACAAAAUAUCAAGGAUUAAAAUCAAAUUUUUUAUAUUUAGAGGAA